rnacentral:misc_RNA from 1 species
UGUAGGAGUGAGCCUGCUCGCGAUGGCGUCCUGUCAGUCACUUAAUCUUUAACUGACACACCGCCAUCGCGAGCAGGCUCACUCCUACA